CCUACGGGGGGCAGCAGUAAGGAAUAUUGGUCAAUGGAGGAAACUCUGAACCAGCCAUCCCGCGUGAAGGAUGAAGGGGCUCUGCCUUGUAAACUUCUUUUGUCUGGGGCGAAAAAGCUCGAUUUAUCGAGAACUGACGGUACCAGAAGAAUAAGCACCGGCUAACUCCGUGCCAGCAGCGGCGGUAAUACGGAGGGUGCAAGCGUUAUUGGGAAUCACUGGGUUGUAGGGGUCUUAGGAAGUCUUAGGUGAAAGGGUGUGGCUUAACCAUGGAAUUGCCAUUGAUACUGCAGAGCUUGAAUGAGGUUGAGGUUGGCGGAAUGUGACAUGUAGCGGUGAAAUGCUUAGAUAUGUCAUGGAACACCGAUUGCGAAGGCAGCUGACUGGACCUAUAUUGACGCUGAGGCACGAAAGCGUGGGGAGCGAACAGGAUUAGAUACCCGAGUAGUC
rnacentral:rRNA from 1 species